AGCUGUCCUUGUCCCCUCUCUGCUCAGGUGCCACCAUGGAGCUGGGGAACAUCUCGCAGCCCGUGUACGGCCCCGGCCUCGAGGAGCCGAGCAGCAGCAUGCCGGGGCUGCUCCGCAUGGCGCACGGCUUCCUGCACCUGGUGCAGCCCCACAGCCUCCCCUUGGAGCUGAUAGCGGAUCUGACACAGACGCAGGGCAGGGUGGUGACCGAUGAGCAGAAGGAGGAGCUGCUGCGUUACGAGCUGGGCUUCCUGGUGUGCAUCGCCAUCGGGCUGCUCUUCGCCGUCGCGGUGCCGCUGGCGGGAUGCUGCUUCUGCUGCUGCCGCUGCUGCGGGCGCUGCGGGGGCCGCAUGUCCCAGAAGCAGAGCGGGCGGAUGCGCAGCCGACGCCGGGCGCUGUACAGCGCUGUGCUGCUGGUGUCGGCGCUCCUGCUGGCCGGCGAUGUGUGCGCCUUCAUCAGCAACAUCCGCUUCUCGCAAUCCGUGAGCAGCGCCUUCCCCAACAUCAACAGCACCGUGCACGACCUCUGCUCCUACCUGCUCUCCAUCCCCCAGCAAGUCAGCUUCAUCAUCGACAGCAGCAGCGUCCCGUUGGGCAGCACCAAUGACAGCCUGCAGAACAUUGGGCCCCUCCUCGGCGGCAGGAUCACCUCCAGCAUCAGGAACUGCACAGACGAGGCGCUGGGAUCCCUACAGAGCCUUUUGGGAGGUGAUGUCCCAGUGAUUCUGAGGAUGUGUGGGGGACACCAUGGGGAUACGAGGGCUGAGGGCUGGGCUGGAGGCACAUGUGGUGUUUUGGGAAAGGCCUCUGGGGAGGGGUGUGCCUGUCCAUCCCUGGUCUGGCUGGAACGCUGGCACUUUGGGGUGUAUUCCUGGAUGUCUCUCGCUGCCUCUCCAGCAAUGGAAACACUGGCGUCCACCUUCGGCACCAUCAACAGCACCCGCUGGCGCCUGGAGGAACUGCAGGGCACCUACGACGGGCAGCUGGGCACGCUGCGGGCACGCAUCGACAGCACCCUGAAGCGCUGCGGGCAGCCCUGCAGCACCACCUCAUCCAAUGGCGUGGCCUUCGUGGCCAACUAUAGCACGGUGCCCGGUGUGGAGCGGCAGCUGGAGGCGCUGUGGGAUGUGCUGGACAGUGGCAUAGAGGGGGAUUUGGAGGUGAUCAGCGUGCUGGAGCAGGCCCCCAGAAAGGUGCAAGAGCAGUCCCAGAACGUGGUGACAUGGACCCAGGAGCAGCUGGGCUACAUCAGGCAGGAGAUUCGCAGCAUGCAGGACGAGCUGCCGCUGCAGAAUGUGGAAGAGACAGCUGGGAACCUGGUGAACCAAACCAAUGCCGUGCUGGGGGACAACCAGAAGACUAUCACUGACCUGGAUAGCAUCAGGUGGAGCGUGUGUGCCCUGCUGUGCUGCAUGGUGCUGCUGGUAGUCCUGUGCAACACCUGCGGGCUGCUGCUGGGGCCGUUGGGGCACAAGGAGAGCACGCUGCCCACCCAGCGCGGCUGCCUCUCCAACACCGGAGGGAACUUCUUCAUGGCAGGGGUGGGCUUCAGCUUCAUCUUCUCUUGGCUGCUGAUGCUGCUGGUGCUGCUCACUUUCUUCCUGGGGGGGAACAUCUACAUGCUGGUCUGUGAGUCCUGGAGCAGCCAGCAGCUCUUCCAGCUUGUGGAUACCCCUGGUCUCAUCCCCAGCUUUAACCUUUCGGAGGUGCUGGGUGACGAGAGUGGCACCAUCACCUUCUCACAGAUCUACAGAGAAUGCCAGCAGGAUGCUGCCCUAUGGCAGACACUGCGCCUGGACCAGAGGGUGUCCCUGGAUGAGCUCCUGGACAUCAGCCAGUACACAGGGAAGAUCUCAGCGGCUUUCCAGAAGCUGAACAUCACCCUGACCCCCAUCUCUGUGCUGAACGAGAGCCAGCGGGAGCUGCUGCUGAAUGCCUGCCACGAUGCACAGCCCCCCAGCUUCACCCACACCCUGCAGCAGCUGGAUCAGGGCGUCACGGCGGGCAGCCUGCAGGAGCUGGCCACAGAGCUGGAGCAGUUGGUGGGCAACGCGAGUGCAGAUGUGCAGAGGGACCUGAAGGCAGAUGCUGCUGAGCUGCGGGAGCUGGACAGGGAGCUGAACCACAACUUCUCAGGGCCGCUGAAAACCCUGAAGGAGAACAUCCAGCUGGUGCAGAGCCAGGCUGCCCAGCUUGAGGCACAGACAAACUCCACGUUGGACAAAGCCAGUGCCACAGAGGAGUUCCUGAGAAGGGAGAUGGGGAACAUAAUCAAGAAUGAGACGUGGGCCUUUCUAGAGGAGCUGCUGGACUUCUUUGAGACCUACAUUGCCUGGGCCAAGAGCAGUCUGAGGAUGGAUGUGGCACGCUGCAAGCCCAUAGCCCAGAGCCUGGAUAAUGUGGAGGCCAUCGCCUGUGACCACAUCUUGGACUCUAUGAACACCUUCUGGUUCAGCCUGGGCUGGUGCACUGUGUUCCUGCUGCCCAGCAUCAUCCUGGCCGUGCGUCUCGCCAAGUUCUACCGCCGCAUGGACAUCAACGACGACUACAGGAGCCCCUAUGCUGUGCCCAGAUGAGGAGGCUGGAAUGGAGGGACUGUCACAGCCUGCAGCACCCACACCUUCCUUGUGUGCCCCGGAACAGCCCCAUCCUGCAGUGUGAUGCUGGGCUGGGCUCUCAAGAGGUCCUUCUGACCCACUGACGUGAUCCCUUCUUUUUCCUUCCCCCUAGGAAAGAAGCUGUGGAGAUAGGGCCUGCAUUCAACCUGAACAAAAUCCCCCAGCCAGCUACAAGUCAUUAGCCUCCAUCACAACACGGCACAGGCACUAAGGACGCUGAACAUGACAGCUCUGUCUGCUGCAUCUUCUCCCUUAGCACUGGGAACAGGCUGGGAGCCCCCUCCCCACUUCCCAAUAAGUGGUGAGGUGCUACAGCUGGGAGACAGCCUGCAGGAGAAGGGUGUGUGCCCUUUGCACUGCCCCACGUGGGGCUUUGCUACCCCUCAUCACCUGGGGAAGGUGGCAGGGAAGGGGAGGAGUAGCACAGCAUCUCCCCACGGUUCAUUGCAGCCAUGCUGUGGUGUGGGGCUGGGCCAGGACCCCUCCUCCCCCUUGUGUGCACAGGCAGAUGCUGCUGGCUGAGGGGAACUUGCUUACCUGCUCCAUAACCAAUGUGAGUAUUUAUUUGUGCAGGGAGCCUGACUCUCCAGUGCUGUGAUUUUGGAUGUAAAACAAUAAACGAGGUGAUUUUGUGUUGUA